rnacentral:tRNA from 2 species
GGAUCUAUAGCUCAGUUUGGUUAGAGCAACCGGCUCAUAACCGGUAGGUCGUUGGUUCGACUCCAACUAGAUCCACCA